rnacentral:tRNA from 1 species
GGUCCGGUAGUUCAGUUGGUUAGAACGCCUGCCUGUCACGCAGGAGGUCGCGAGUUCGAGUCUCGUCCGGAUCGCCA